GCUGAGAUAGAAAAAUGAGGAAAAACAGUGCUACCCUACUCCCAGAUUGUCCCUAGAAAGACAAUAUCUCACCCUUGGUAAGGGUGAGGUCGGGAGUUCAAUCCUCCCCAGCAGCACCA
rnacentral:tRNA from 1 species